UCCACAGGACACGGCCUCCCUGAGAGCCUGCAGGCCUGGAAAGUACUCCAGGUGGGACCACCCUCUGCCCCAAGCCCUGCAAUCCAGGUGGCCCACACAGCAACAGCUGCUGGUGGCGAGAGCCAUCCCGCGCAGCUAUGUCCUGAGAGUCUCCAGGACCAUGGCCCUUAGCACACAGCCACACCAGCCACCACCAGCCCAUUCUGACGGGGACCACACAGCACCCUGACAUCCCCAAGGAGCGGUCCCCCAGGCAUGCCUGGUCCCCAGGGGCCACCAUGCUUUCAAGGAACUCACCAGAGAGUGACCACCUUGGGGGUCAUCGGCUUUACUGGGAUGCCAUAGGCCCGGGCCAGGCCAAAAUCCGCUACAGCAGAAAGAGGA